rnacentral:rRNA from 1 species
UGGGGAAUAUUGCACAAUGGGCGCAAGCCUGAUGCAGCCAUGCCGCGUGUAUGAAGAAGGCCUUCGGGUUGUAAAGUACUUUCAGCGGGGAGGAAGGCGAUAAGGUUAAUAACCUUGUCGAUUGACGUUACCCGCAGAAGAAGCACCGGCUAACUCCGUGCCAGCAGCCGCGGUAAUACGGAGGGUGCAAGCGUUACUCGGCAUUACUGGGCGUAAAGCGCACGCAGGCGGUCUGUCAAGUCGGAUGUGAAAUCCCCGGGCUCAACCUGGGAACUGCAUUCGAAACUGGCAGGCUAGAGUCUUGUAGAGGGGGGUAGAAUUCCAGGUGUAGCGGUGAAAUGCGUAGAGAUCUGGAGGAAUACCGGUGGCGAAGGCGGCCCCCUGGACAAAGACUGACGCUCAGGUGCGAAAGCGUGGGGAGCAAACA